rnacentral:rRNA from 1 species
AGCGGACAGAUGGGAGCUUGCUCCCUGAUGUUAGCGGCGGACGGGUGAGUAACACGUGGGUAACCUGCCUGUAAGACUGGGAUAACUCCGGGAAACCGGGGCUAAUACCGGAUGGUUGUUUGAACCGCAUGGUUCAAACAUAAAAGGUGGCUUCGGCUACCACUUACAGAUGGACCCGCGGCGCAUUAGCUAGUUGGUGAGGUAACGGCUCACCAAGGCAACGAUGCGUAGCCGACCUGAGAGGGUGAUCGGCCACACUGGGACUGAGACACGGCCCAGACUCCUACGGGAGGCAGCAGUAGGGAAUCUUCCGCAAUGGACGAAAGUCUGACGGAGCAACGCCGCGUGAGUGAUGAAGGUUUUCGGAUCGUAAAGCUCUGUUGUUAGGGAAGAACAAGUACCGUUCGAAUAGGGCGGUACCUUGACGGUACCUAACCAGAAAGCCACGGCUAACUACGUGCCAGCAGCCGCGGUAAUACGUAGGUGGCAAGCGUUGUCCGGAAUUAUUGGGCGUAAAGGGCUCGCAGGCGGUUUCUUAAGUCUGAUGUGAAAGCCCCCGGCUCAACCGGGGAGGGUCAUUGGAAACUGGGGAACUUGAGUGCAGAAGAGGAGAGUGGAAUUCCACGUGUAGCGGUGAAAUGCGUAGAGAUGUGGAGGAACACCAGUGGCGAAGGCGACUCUCUGGUCUGUAACUGACGCUGAGGAGCGAAAGCGUGGGGAGCGAACAGGAUUAGAUACCCUGGUAGUCCACGCCGUAAACGAUGAGUGCUAAGUGUUAGGGGGUUUCCCCUUAGUGCUGCAGCUUACGCAUUA